rnacentral:rRNA from 1 species
AAUGAACGUUGGCGGCGUGGACUAGGCAUGCAAGUCGAGCGGUAAGGCUCCUUCGGGAGUACACGGGCGGCGAAAGGGAGAGUAACGCGUGGAUUAUCUACCCUGGGGUCCGGAAUAGCUGCGGGAAACUGCAGGUAAUGCCGGAUAAUAUCUACGGAUCAAAGGUGUGAUUCCGCCCUUGGAGGAGUCCGCGUCCUAUUAGCUUGUUGGUGGGGUAAUGGCCUACCAAGGCGACGAGGGGUACCGGGUGUGAGAGCAUGACCCGGCUCACUGGGACUGAGACACUGCCCAGACGCCUACGGGUGGCUGCAGUCGAGAAUCUUCGGCAAUGGGCGCAAGCCUGACCGAGCGACGCCGCGUGUGGGAUGAAGGCCUUCGGGUUGUAACCCACUGUCGUAGAGGAGGAAAUGCAUUGGGGUUCUCCCCAGUGUUUGACCUAUUCUAGGAGGAAGGACGGGCUAAGUUCGUGCCAGCCGCCGCCGUAA